UGUUGUAUUUGUGGGGUGCUCUAGUAC
rnacentral:piRNA from 1 species